UAAUACGUAGGAUGAACGCAAUAUUUUAUCGGAUUUUGCGUCACAUGUUCUGAAAUACCGAUCUCAAAAAAGAUCAUGUGGCGACAUCACAACGAAAACUAUUUUACCGACCAUUGAUCCGGUCAACAAGUCAAAACGACACGUGACAAUGGAGGAUAGAAGUCGAAAGCGUGGCGAUUGGAUAUUACAAAUAAUUCUAACGAACAUGAAAUUAACGAUUGCGAUUUCGAUGUGAUUUCGCAAGAACAUAAAAAAAAAAUUGCAAGCACGAGUUGGUUUCACGAGAAGAUAAAAUAAGCGGGCAUGUUAUGCACAGUUAACAUGAAAUGAACAUAGUUUGUAUAACUGUAUAGACAGGAAAUUAAGAAAAAUCAGAUAUAACGGAUAAAAUAAGACAAAAUGUGCUCGGUGGAUGCGUCAUGGAAAUAAGAAGAAAAUUGGCAUACAACAAGCUAUGGAAACAAAAGAAAGAUGUAAUUGAAGAAAUUAAAAUGAUAAUCAAGGGCUUGAAAGGCAACAGAAGAUUUCAAUAGCGAACCCAAUAGCGAACCAAGGACAAUAAGUUUAUUAUUAUCCUAAAAAUCUGCUUAGGACGGUAUCGUAACAAAUUAUUACGAUACAAAUGUGUAACAAUACAAUGUAUGUUUAUAAUCAAGAAAGAGGAAAACUAAAUUGUCUAUCGAUCAAUGAAGCAAGAAUAAAUGAUUAAAAUGAAAUAAAAAUAAUAAUAUGCCAACACAAGAGUUACACAUGUAUAAAAUCAUGCGAAUCUUGUAUGGAUUUUAGACCAACGUUUAAAUAAUAAUAAUUUUGUUUUAUACGAAUAGAUGCUAUAUAUACCUCUUAUAAAUGCUUUUCUCAUUUAUUUUGAAUUAUAUAACGAUCAACCGAAAAAGAGAGAAAUUUCGAAGAUAGCAUUCAACGACAAUGGUUCAAGAGAUGAUGGAAAAAGAACAAGAUCCUUCUAUUUUAUUUAUCGAAAAAAUUUCUGAAACAAAUUGUAUAAAAUGAAUUAAUAAAACUUAAUAAUAGAUU
rnacentral:lncRNA from 1 species